AGGGACGCAACCUUUUCCGGCUAAAAUAGAAGCUAUACCAGUUGAAAAAAAAGGACGCAGAGAAGGAACAAAGGAGAAGAAGAAGAAAGGAGCUGGAACCAAAGUUUGAAAAUUUUAAAUAUGUACUGAUUCUUACGGGUAGUUGAAGAAGUCAAACAAAGUGCUCGCAGCGUCAAGUUCGAUAUUUCGGCAUGAGUACUAUAGGGAACCCAACACACUUGGCAUACAUUGCUAAUCAACGGACUCCAGCUAAAUGUGAACUGUUACAAGCUUCGGGAGAUAGAGAACCAAUACAAAGACCUGAUACCCUUGUGGUUCCCUGACAACAGUACGAAGUCAAUUGGAUACAGCUGGAAAGCGAUGUGACUGCCUACACUGCAGUGUUCCAGCGGUCACUUGUCCUUUGACCAACCAAGUGAUUACAUCAUUCAAGUGAUGUCAUUCAAAUUGUAUUAACAAGAGCAUUACAAUAAAACAUCACUUGAACACUUGAGAAUUUUCUUCAAACAUUCAAACCAUCUGAUAUUCUAGCAUUCAAUUCUCAAGUGCAUCAAGAAAAAAGUUUAAACACUACUACAGACUAGUUCCUAGAUCCAGUAUUUUGUUCUCCUUAGUUGAGUUGUAACUUUAUAAUUGUUCUUCAUUGCAAUUCCUAAUUUGCUUAACUAGAA